rnacentral:tRNA from 1 species
UCUCAGGUGGCUCAGUGGUAAAGCAUCCACUUGCAGUGCAGGAGACUCAGGUUCGAUCCCUGGGUUGGGAA